rnacentral:lncRNA from 1 species
GGAUCUCCUGAGCAAUACAUUCGCGGUAGAUCGCCUGAUAGAUUACACCCAAGCUUAAUGCCUAUCGAUCAGCAACAACCCCACUAAGGUAGAGAUCAUAUAGUCCCUAAAGACAACGGUUAGCAUCUCCACGGGCAAACUCCAGAAAUCCCGGUUAUUUCAGACAACGAUCACCUUCACAAGGAUACGGAGCAAAUCAAAGUGCUGCUCCAACAAUGGAGUCUUUAAACAGCAAAGGGUCGGGCCAGUAGGCCAACGCACGAUUCCAAAGUCCAUUGGCCAUGAAACAUCACCUCAUCACAAAAUCGAACAGAGGCCCACGGCCUCGUCCGAUAUUGUCAUCAGACGAACCAUUUGAAAGAGCUUAGCAGAACGAGGUACUAUACAUGACCAGAAUGUGAGCAUGAUUGUGGACACUGCUGCAAUGAUAACAUUAGUAAAUGAGAAAUUAAUUACGGCAGAAAAUGGAGAUUUUGAGAACGUAACGCUACGUGGUUUGUGUUAACAGCUUGUUAUUGGGAAGACUAUAAAGAACGACUCUCGACAUUAAUAGAGUAAACAGACGAUGUUAUUCUUAGGCUAGAUAUUUUGGACAUACUGAGCGUAGUGAUAAACCUGAGUACUCCCACAAUUACCAUCAACAAUAAAGUGAUAAAUGUGGCAUUUGUUAACGGUGGAAACGAGAUUUCAACUCAGCAAAUUUGCAUAAAACGAACCAUCACAGUUCCACCAAACUCAGAAAUGACUGUUACCAUUAAAACUAAUAAAAGUGCUGAUCAGGAGUGCAUUUUAGGACCAUGCUCGCUGAAUAGUUGCGAAAUUAGGUUUCGCACGUCGUUGGAAAAGGAAAUAGUAGCCCCUUAACCAUUUUAAAUGAUGGGAAUCGCCUAUUCCGCCUGAAGAAAGGUACACCUAUUGAUUACAUAGAACAAUUUGACGAUGUAGUGCGUACGGCAGAUGAAAACGCGAUAAGUGACGUAAGACGUUACAUUGAAGAGACACGAGACAGGGUGCCCUCGGCACUGCCUCAAAGUUCAGAUGAGUUAUCUACUAUUCCACCACAUUUAACCGACCUAUAUUAACGUUCAAUCGACUCGUUUCAACCUAUUUCAUACCAACCAUUAAAACUGAAGUGGUUUAAAGAAUAACAUGUAACAUAUUGAUUAACAUUUUGAAUUUCACUAUUUUUGUAUGUGCAGCCAUAUUUGCAAAUGUAUGUGUAAUAGAAAUAACCAAAUUAUUUUUUUUUAUAUUUUAAAAUUAAUUGAUAACAAAUUCAAGAACAUGGAGUCCAUUUUUGAAGAAUCAUAACUUUAAUUUCCGAAAUUAUAUAGAAUACCUUUAGGACAAUCUUGAUUUUUAUACCGUUUUUCCGCCAUCUUGAAAAUGGCAGCCAUAUUGGAUUUUUCAGAGUGGGUCCAUAGCUGAAAUCAAAGGGUAUAUAACCAAGAACUACUAUGCAAAGUUUCGUGCUUUCCUCAUCAAGUGAACAAUUCUGCUCUAUAUCUGCACCAAUCGGCCGGACUA